UAGGGUGGAGGUGGCCGUGGUGAAAAGCAUCGGUCUUUGGCUGCACCCACACCUGCCUGCCUGGCUGGGGCUGUCCGUGCAGGAGGGCAGAUUUUGGGAGGUUCCUGGCCGUGUUUUUUAGUUUCUCUGGGGUGUGUUCAGCUCUCUGUUCCGUUCCCAGGGGGGUGAGGGAUGGAGGGUGUGAUCCCAGCUGAUCCAUCGCUGAUUCACGUCCCCAGGUGCCACAUCCACACAUUUAGUAAGCACUUCCAGGGUUGUCACUUCCCCACUGCCCUGGGCAGCCUGGGCCAGGGCUGGGCAGCCCUUUCAGGGAAGAAAUUUUCCCCACAUCCAAUCCAAUCCAAUCCAAUCCAAUCAGGGAAUUCUCCCUAACGACCAACCUACUUGAACAAUCCAAACUUCCUGCCUGAAACCAGGCACAAAGUUGGAUGCUCUGCCUUCAGGAGAUGCUUCAACUCUUGGAUUGAGGCAGAGCCCGGACAGAAGGUGGGUUUGCUCUGGUGUUUUAUUAUCUAGUCCUAAACAUUUACUCCUGCUGCUCUGCCCAGGGCAGAGCCCCAGCUCCGUGGUGACAGCAGAGUGAUAAAUCCCGCUUCCAGUUCAUGCCCCUGCUCCGGGAAGGACAUUCCUUGCUUUGGGAUUCCCAAGCUGUUGACAGGUCCAGCCUGACCCCCUCCCCUCCUCCCGCACUCUGUGACCUUGACAUCGAUGUGUGAAGGGUUAAUGAGGGCUCUGCUCUGCCUCCCUGCUCCCAUCUGCUGAUUAAUUCCAGCCAGGUGUCCACGGGCCCAGGUCUUAAAACAACAAGGGCUGGAGUGUCUGGGAACACUUAGCCAGCCUUCACUCGGCAAUUCCAAGUAUGGGUAAAUAUUUGCACCUCCGUGGCUCGAAGACACCUUGGAGAUGUGGAGGCAAUUACUGGAGGAGCUCUUUACAAGGGGGAAAAACAGGGAUUUCCUGGGGAGCAGGGCUGGUUGGGCAGCAGGGAGGACUCGUGGGCUCCUCUUGCAGCUCCUCCUGGGUGGUCCUGGGUGGGGGGUCACAGGGUUUUGGGGGCUGCAGGGUGGGUGUCAUCCCACAGCAGCUCUCAGGGAAUCCAGAUGUGCUCCCACUGGUGUUUGGCUCCACGGUUUGGGGGCCUUGGUUGAUUUACAUGGGACAGUGAGGAGGAGAAAUGCAGAAUCCAGAGAUUCCAGAUCCAAAACCUCCUUUUUUUUUGGGGAUACCCCAAGGAAAGCCCUGGUAGGACCCAGCAAUCCCAGAAAAUCUGUUUAAUUCUGUUCCUAUUUGUAAUUUAUAGUCUAUAUUUGUAAUUUAGUAGUUGUCAUGUUUUCCUCUUCCCCUAAAAUAAACCAAAGGUUCCCAAGCUCUGACUUUCACCCCUGUGACUGAAUUUCUGACUUCCAGCAGCGAGGAUGACAGAAAAAAACAGUGCCUGCCCAGGGCAAUCCGACUUUUCCAUGCCUCCUUCCUACCUGGAGACUCCAAGGAGGCUUUGCCUUGAAGAGAAACACCAGCCACAGUUGGUUUGAGGCACGAGGGGAAAGGGGGAAAGUGGGAGCAGAGGGAAUUCGUGGCCUGGAGCGGGUGAGGAGGGAGAGCAGGAGGAUGCUCCGGGGUCCCAAGGGAGGUGCUCAGGCACUGGGGUUUGGCACUAAAGAGAGGUGAUCUCAAAUCCCCCGUGGCCAGACGUGCUCCUGGAUGCUGUUCCCACGCUGCAGGAAGGUUGGGAGGUUCGUCUUCCCUGAUUUCCCAACCUGAGGUGAUGAUUUUACAGGGAGAGGGAAGGGACACCUGGGGCAGGCACCCAGCAGGGUUCAUUCCAGGCUGUUGGAUCAGAAGGAAGGUGGAUCCUGCCCUUCAGCAGACUGGGAGGAAACAACCAGCACGUCCCUGGGAGGUGUUCACAAGGGAUGGGGAAUCAUUUCCACCUCUGAGGGGGAGGAUGUGACCCACGGGCAGCCCUUGGGGCCGGGUGUCAGACCUGCUCCUGCUGCACCUCCCCGCAGUCCCUGGAGCUGGGGAGGGACUGGAGCUGCCAAGAAAACCAUCUGAUUCAAGCAGCAGGAAUGCAGACACCAUCCCUCCUUGUUUUGGGGGUUUUUUUCUUGCUCCUUUGCUCCGUAGCAAGACCAGGCAGAGCGACCCGAAGCGAAGCCCCGGCUCGUAAAUCCUCGUCCCUGCCAGGACCCCGAGGGUUUUCCUUCCCUCUGUCAAACCAAGCAAUCAAAUCCCCCUCUCCAACAGGUCUUUAAUUGGGUGACUGAAGGCUCUGGCGUUCCCUCUGGGACAUCUGCUUGCUGGGAGAUGCUGGCUCCCAUUCCCAGCCUGGAAUCGCUCCCGGCUCUGGCUCCGUGGCUCCCACCUGGGAGCGAUCAGGGAGGGUCGGGAUGAGCUCUCUCCGUGGCACUGCUGGCUCGUGGGGGUGUUUCCACCCCUCCUCCUCCCUGCUGAAAUGUCUCAGGGGGCAAGUUGAUUUUUCGUGGCUCUGCUGGGCGAAGUUCAGCUGGGAGGACUUUUUAACCUUGAACCAGACGUCUGCAGGUCUGGCUUAAAUUACAGCUCCACGGGGCCGUCAUCGGAGCUUGAAAGGAGCAGACAUCCAGGCUGGAAUCAGAAGGGUUUGGGAGUUGUGCCAGCCCGUGUGAGGAGCUGCCCUGAAUCAACUCGCCGGGCAGACGGGCUCGUGUGGGGCUCAUAAAACACCCAGCACCUUCUUGGCACAGCCACAGUAAAUAAGAGCCUGGGAGGGAAAACACCAAGCCCAUCGUGCUGGGAAGUGGAGCUUCAGCUUCUCCCAAUUUUUUUUGGCCUCCCAAAUCUGGCAGAGCUCUCCAGAAGCAGGACAGCACCACAGCACAGGGAAUAAUGCCCUGUUUGGACCACACCACCCCAUCCUACCCACUGAAGCUCAGCUGCCUGUUUGGGAUUCCCGCUGGAUCCACUCUGCCUAUGGAUGAUCAACUCCCAAAACACCUCUGUUCUUGGAAAGCCCCGACAAAAUGUUCUGCAAGAGCUGAGCAGGGAGCAGUUGGAGGCCACAGCUGUGAGUGUGUCCGGGCAGAGCUCCCUGCAUCAUCUUCAGCUCCUUCCUCUUCGUGUCCUUCCAUCAGCCCGGGUUCGUGUGACCGUUGUUUGCUCAACAACCCCCUUUUGUCCUCCCUGCAACCUCGAGGGAUGGUUGGACCAAAUAUUGGGAGAUCCUCUUGGCCGAGGAAAUUUUGGAUCCACCACCAAAUGCUGGGGAGAAGGAACCACCUCUUGGUUGAGGAACCAGCUCUUGGUUGAGGAACCACCUCCUUGUUGAGGGAUUUUUGGACCCACUGCCAAAUAUUGGGAGAGGAAUCACCAUCUCGAUGGUUUGGGGUUGGGUUUUCCUAAAGAUUUGCAAACUCCACGCUCACCUCCACUUUUAUUCCAUGUUUUCUGGUUGGAUGUCAGGCUGGGUUUAUAAAUCCCUCCUUUUUCCUUACUGGGAAGUCAUUUUGAGAAGCUCCAACUGAGUGAUGGGGGUUGAACACUCUGAGCAUCCCAUUUCCUCCUGCCUUAUUCCUUUUUAUUCCAUUGCAGAAUGACCAGAGGGAUCCAGAACAUCACCUGGGAGCUGGGAUUUUUAAGCUGGGGCUUAAAUGAAAAACCCUUUACCUAAAGCAACAAAAAUUUGCCACUUACACUGUGGAAGUCGACAGCACACACCUCAUCUCCAAGAAAUUACACCCAAAAUCAUCCCUGGUCCCAGCCCAGCCCAUCCCAAGUCCACAUUUUUUUCCCUUACAACCUGAUUUAUUUUUCUUUGUGCUCUCAGAAUAGUCAGAUUUUCCAAGCAGCCUUUUUUUUUUUUUUUUUCCCUUUUGGUCGUUAAACUACACUUUGUCCUCUUUUUUUAAAUUAUAUUUAUUUAUUCAUUUUUGGGCGGGCUGGCAGCAGGAUUUGGGCUUUCCUUGGGUUCCUCCUCCUGGAGAUUUAUGACUCUCCAAAGAUUCUUCCUAAAAUAUUUACAGAGCGGAGCUCGGAGCGGGAAUGUUCGACUCUGGCGAGGCUGUCAGGACUCUGGGUGGCAUGAGGGGGGAAUAUAAACAGACCUUUUUUUCCACUCCCAAAACACCACUAUAAACCUUCCCUUCUUUUUGUCUCUUCCCCCCUCUGAUUGUUCCCUGUUAUCCCAUGCCAAGCCCUGCCAGGUCCUUGGCUUCGCCUGAAAUGGGUUUUUUUCCAAGAAAUCUGGGCAAUUUAUACCUGUUCUCGUGUGGGCAUGGAAUAGUUUAAACCUAUUUUUGAGUGAUUAAUAAAAUAAAUCGUAUUUUUUCUGGACGGA